UCUUCUAUAAUGGCCACCUGGCCUCUGUGACAAGCAGCUACAUUCUUGGCGAAAUAGGGAAGCUAAUGGAUCGGAAUGGCGGCCGCACUCGCGCAUGGCUUGGAGGACGGAGAAUCCUUCGUACAAAAAAGUUCUGAUGGUUGGAUGGAACGCGGUGGAGCUAUAAUGGCUGGGCUAAAGGAAAGCCCAAUAAUCGUGGUGGGAAGGAGAACUGUGUAGAGAUGUGGUAUAAUCUGGCGUUCAAUGAUGCACCAUGCACAAGACCCGAACCGUUCAUCUGUUCCUGUCCACUUUAGACAGCCAGAAGGUUAA